UACGUAGGUGGCAAGCGUUGUCCGGAUUGACUGGGCGUAAAGGGCGUGCAGGCGGUCUGUUAAGUUCAGGGUGAAAGCUCCCGGCUCAACUGGGAGAGGUCCUUGGAUACUGGCAGACUUGAGGGAGGUAGAGGAGAGUGGAAUUCCCGGUGUAGUGGUGAUAUGCGUAGAUAUCGGGAGGAACACCAGUGGCGAAGGCGGCUCUCUGGGCCUUUCCUGACGCUGAGACGCGAAAGCGUGGGGAGCGAACCGG
rnacentral:rRNA from 1 species